rnacentral:tRNA from 1 species
ACCUGGCUGGCUCGGUCGGUAGAGUAUGGGACUCUUAAUCUUAGGGCUAUAAGUUUGAGCCCCAUGUUAGGUA